CAGCUGCAGGGUGGUGAAGGGAGCAGGUCCUCAGUGUAGAUGUGGGGGUGACUCGAUGUGUAGGGCCCUUUAGUUCCUGAGGCUUGGAAAAUGCACACACCUCCUUUGUCAAAGUGGGGACCAUCUCACUGCCUGCACUUCCAUGGAGGGAAGACACUGUUCCUAGUUAUGUGGUAACUUGGGAUUCGUGUAAAAUGCACAUCCUGAAGGUGGUGGAUGGGAGCUGGGGUGAAUCUGCCCACCUGUUCGCAGCUCUGCCCCAAGAUUCCUCAGAUCUGGCUGAAAUCACUCUGGCUGUUGACACAGAUGUGCCUGAAGCUGAGCUAAAGGACACCUUACCCCCUAGUCUGGCAUGCCCAGCUUCCAGGACUUGGCAUUGAAAAUGACUGACCUCUGGUCUCACUUUUCUACUUUUCAGUGCAUGAGGUGAAGAUCCAGAUGCAGGACAGCCUGACCUUGCUGAGGAAGCCCUGCCUCUCCCACUGCACCUGAAGCUAAGAAUGCUGCACAGUCUUGGGAGGGUGUGAGCCUGGUUGCACUCAAUGCUUCUGAGCGAGGAUGCAUUCCUGCCUUUCCCAGCCUGCAGGAAUCAGGGUACUGUGCAAGCACACUGAGCCAAGGCCCCAGUGGUGGUGAUGGUGGCAGCAGUGGUGGCCAUGGAUGAGGCUGGUGGCCCUGAGGAAGACCACUGGCACUGAGCACGAGGGAAGAGUUGUCCAAAGUCAAAAAGAAAGACUUUGAGCACUUGAUGAUGGAGGUGAUGCAGAUCGGGGACUUUCUACCCAGGAUCCUCAAUCAGGAAGUCCUGGAGAGUUGCUCGAAGUUGAAGAUUGUCAACAAAUUGAAUCUCCCUGCAUCUCUAGUGGGCAUCAGCUCGGAGGUGUACAGUUCAUUCAUUGCUGGUUCACCCUAGGUGAGCAGCAACUAAGGAGUCCAGCAAGCAAGCAUUGUGUGUCACAUCCUCUCAGCCACUUGUUCAGCAGAGAUUUCUGUGUCCUGAUCUGUGCACAGGGGCAGGCACUGGGCAAGUGAGUGGUAUGAGAACCCAGGACUGGAGAGACCAGGGUUUUCCAUCAGAAAUGAGGCUUCCUGCCUCUGUCCUUUGGCCUGGUCCCUGGACUGGGUCAGGGCUCCGAGUGGAACUGCAGAGAUGCCACAUCCUCAGAAGGCAAGGGGAUGCCUGUUAGUGGGUGGCCCCUGCCAGCCUCUUUCCCAGGUGGUCAUAUGUGGGAUGGAGCUCCCAGACUCCUCCCGCCCUUUGAGUGUCAUGAUAGACCAGCUACCUGCCUGAUGGCACUUGGACACUGACGGGCUAUCCUCAUGAUUUACCUCCGUUACUGUGGAUCAGCUGCUGAGGCUCAGGUCUGGGCUGGCUAGCUGCCGGGUCAAGGGGGCACACUGCAAUCACCCCAUGGAGCUGCACCACGAGGCCCUUGGGAAGAGCUUGGCAGUUACCACCACAGCUUCCCAGGUCCUGAGUUUCUGAGACACAGCCACAGCCUUCCAGGCUGUAUAGCCCAAACUACAGCACAGGGCCUGAGGCCCCGUUACAUUCUUCAGAC